rnacentral:lncRNA from 1 species
GGUUAACGUCAGGGGCGUGAGCGAAGAAGGGGCGUCCCAGGAAGAGGGACAGGGAAACGUUGGUAGUCAGUGAAAAAGAGAAAGAUAGUUCCUCUUAGCCUGGUCUACACGCCACCUCCGGCGGUACGUUCAGCUCCACGCGACUUCACGAGUGAAACAUUUCGCGGGUUUCGCGGGGAGCUUUUCCGCAAGACUCGCCGGUAGUGGGAGGUUCAAGGUGGUAGAGGAGUGAAGGAAGGACAACGGUAUUCCCGUUAAUUGAACGACUCUCUCGCGUGGGGAAGGAGGUACCUGGGAGGGAGACGCGACACUCUCUACUCCGGAUCGAGAAGAGGGAGAAGGAUUACUUGCAGUAAUUACUUAUUUUUAUUACGCUCCGCCUUCCUGUCCUCUUUUCCUCUCCUUCAUACUCGAUACUCACUCUACUCCCUUCCCCAAUCUUCGUCCUCAUCGUCGUCGUCGUCGUACGUUCAACGUCGCCAACGGACCUAACCACCAGUUCGACCAGUUACCGCGGUUCAACUUUGCUGUUUUUCUUAACCAGUAGAUGCGACUUUAGAUAAGAGUUUUGACAAGUGCGCCUGCGACCGUCUAUGGGGUGCCGACUGAACGACGAGCCAUGCCUUCAGGAACUCAGGGAGAGGCACGUACGAGCGAGUGGACAUGACAUCCGCCUACGCUAGGCUACCACCAUCUAAGGUGCGUUUAUUUUGGCGACCUUUACGACACGAGUUUACGAUCGGCUGAACGGAUUCUGUUGAACUUCGUAAUGAUUUUCGGAAGUUUGCGGAAAAAACAUCGGGGACGAGAAAAAAAGAUUUUUGGACCGUUCAACUCUAUCGGGGAGAGGGUUGCUUUCAGCCAAGGAGAAACAAUAAAAUUCGUUAAAUUAUUAGCCGUUAUAUUGGACGGGACUAGACAGGAGAAGUAAGAAAGUGACUCUUUUGAAAAAAAUGAAAUAGUAUUAAAAUAAGAAAGAAAGAAAAAGGGGGAACAACAAUAACAACAACAACGUUCGAUGAACGUAGAGAGAAAUGACCGAAUGGUGGAACGGACAGAGAGGGGGGGGUUGGUUGAAGAGGGACGCGAAAAGAACGACGCGUAUCCGUAUAGCUCAUGGAGAAAGGAACGAAAAGUUAAGAAAAGGCAAAGGUUCAACAGGGAUAAGUCCAACAGGAAUAUUGAAAGCCGGUCCUUCGAACGAGGCCAGCGAUCAAGAGAGCCAAUUAUCUCAAAGACCCACCACCACUACUCCUCGUUCCAACCCCUCACCUACCUGCUUUCUCUCUCUCUCUCUCUCUCUAUUUCUCUUUUCUUCUUUGCCCCCACAUACGCGUACUCACGUCGAACAUAUUUUUCCUACGUACCUUAUGCGAAUAUUCAAAGUACACUCAAGCUACCGAAGUACUAACAUACUCGAAUAGUAUAUUCGAACGCGCGUUCGUUCGUUCGUUCCAUUUCGUUUCGUUUCGUUUCGUUUCGUUUCGUUUCGUUCGUUUAUUCGAAGAGCACCGUAUACAUAAUGCCUACAUACGUAGAUAGAUACGUGGAGGUACAUUAUGCGAAUCGAGCAUCAUAGAUCGUUGCCGUUCUAAUAAAGCUAAGGGUACUUUCUCGCGAUCACCCGCAAAC